rnacentral:rRNA from 1 species
GACGAACGCUGGCGGCGUGCUUAACACAUGCAAGUCGAACGGUAAGGCCCUUCGGGGUACACGAGUGGCGAACGGGUGAGUAACACGUGGGUAAUCUGCCCUGCACUUCGGGAUAAGCCUGGGAAACUGGGUCUAAUACCGAAUAUUCAGUUCCUGCCGCAUGGUGGGGGUUGGAAAGUUUUUCGGUGCAGGAUGAGCCCGCGGCCUAUCAGCUUGUUGGUGGGGUAAUGGCCUACCAAGGCGACGACGGGUAGCCGGCCUGAGAGGGUGAUCGGCCACACUGGGACUGAGACACGGCCCAGACUCCUACGGGAGGCAGCAGUGGGGAAUAUUGCACAAUGGGCGAAAGCCUGAUGCAGCGACGCCGCGUGAGGGAUGACGGUCUUCGGAUUGUAAACCCCUUUCAGUAGGGACGAAGCGCAAGUGACGGUACCUGCAGAAGAAGCACCGGCCAACUACGUG